AACAGGAUUAGAUACCCUGGUAGUCCACGCCGUAAACGAUGUCGACUUGGAGGUUGUGCCCUUGAGGCGUGGCUUCCGGAGCUAACGCGUUAAGUCGACCGCCUGGGGAGUACGGCCGCAAGGUUAAAACUCAAAUGAAUUGACGGGGGCCCGCACAAGCGGUGGAGCAUGUGGUUUAAUUCGAUGCAACGCGAAGAACCUUACCUACUCUUGACAUCCAGAGAACUUAGCAGAGAUGCUUUGGUGCCUUCGGGAACUCCGAGACAGGUGCUGCAUGGCUGUCGUCAGCUCGUGUUGUGAAAUGUUGGGUUAAGUCCCGCAACGAGCGCAACCCUUAUCCUUUGUUGCCAGCGGUCCGGCCGGGAACUCAAAGGAGACUGCCAGUGAUAAACUGGAGGAAGGUGGGGAUGACGUCAAGUCAUCAUGGCCCUUACGAGUAGGGCUACACACGUGCUACAAUGGCAUAUACAAAGAGAAGCGACCUCGCGAGAGCAAGCGGACCUCAUAAAGUAUGUCGUAGUCCGGAUUGGAGUCUGCAACUCGACUCCAUGAAGUCGGAAUCGCUAGUAAUCGUGGAUCAGAAUGCCACGGUGAAUACGUUCCCGGGCCUUGUACACACCGCCCGUCACACCAUGGGAGUGGGUUGCAAAAGAAGUAGGUAGCUUAACCUUCGGGAGGGCGCUUACCACUUUGUGAUUCAUGACUGGGGUGAAGUCGUAACAAGGUAACC
rnacentral:rRNA from 1 species